AAAAAAAAAAAAAAAAAAAAAAAAAAAAGUGGAUAAAUACAUCACGUGUCUGGCAAAUGCACAAAGGAUCAUCUUUCACUGGCACAGACGUUAUCAGCAGAAAUGAGCCGCCUUCAAUGUCAGCUACCAGAUCUUCUGUUCUGUGAGCAGAUCAUCAGGCAAAGAAUUAUUAUUACUGUGAACCACCACCACCAAACAUUCAUACACCAGAGUGAGUGGCACUGGGUGAAGUGUCUUGCCCAAGAACACAAUGGACUGACAAGGACAGAGCGGGAUUCGAACCGCCGACCCUUCGGUUAUUGGACGACCUGCUCUACCAUCUGAGCCAUGGCCACCCAGUCUUACUGACAGUGUGUCAGUAUUGCUCCUUGGUAGUUUGUCCUGUCCAUGCCUCCAACAUGUGAUGCUCUACACCAACACUGCAAAAGGACAAACUACCAAACAGCAAUAAUGACACACUGUCUGAAAGGUAUGAUGUGUGCACCCUCACCCACUGGUAGUGGAUGGCACACUGAGGAUGGGGAGUUAACAGUGACCUGGAGGACUAAAAAUCCUGUUCCUCAAAGUGUUUUGCAGUUCGUCCACUGCACUUGGAAACAAGGCAAAUGUGACACAGACAGGUGUUCUGUAUGUCAGCAAGACUGUCUUUCACUGAUGUGUGUAGGUGUCAGCACUGUGUGAAUGUUCAGAAGGAAACAGAAGAUAGAGCUACAUGGGAUGAUGUUUCUGACAGUGAUGGGGAUGAUUAGACAUGUUAUAGAACCAGGAAAUAUCCUCUAAAAGAGCAUCCAUUGAACAAAAAUAAAAGUUUACAGUGUACUGUGUAAAAAACCAGACCCAGAUCUAUUAAAAACAUGUAUUGUUACGUGACAAACGCAUCAUUGUUAGAAGAAGAA